GAUCAGAUAAUGAAUUUGACUGUUCAACUGCUGAAUGAUACAGACAUGAACUAAAACUUUGAUUCUGACAGAG
rnacentral:snoRNA from 1 species